AACGAACGCUGGCGGCGUGCUUAACACAUGCAAGUCGAACGGAAAGGCCCUGCUUUCUUGGGCUGCUCGGGGGGGGAACGGGUGAGGAACACGUGAGUAACCUGCCCUUCACUUUGGGAUAACUUCACGAAACUGGGGCUAAUACCGGAUAGCAACCCCAGCUGCAGUGUGGGGGGGGGAAAGUUGCGGCGGUUGGGGAUGGAUUCGCGCCUUAUCAGCUUGUUGGUGGGGUAGUGGCUUACCAAGGCUUUGGCGGGUAGCCGGCCUGAGAGGGUGACCGGCGCCACUGGGACUGAGAUACGGCGCAGAGUCCUACUGGAGGCAGAGGUGGGGAGUAUUGUGCACUGGGGGGAAGCGUGAUGCAGCACCGCCGCGUGCGGGAUGAGGGCCUUCGGGUUGUAAACCGCUUUCGCCUGUGACGAAGCGUGAGUGACGGUACUCGAUAAAGAAGCACCGGCUAACUACGUG
rnacentral:rRNA from 1 species